UACGAAGGACCCAAGCGUUAUCCGGAUUUAUUGGGUUUAAAGGGUGCGUAGGCGGAUUAGUAAGUCAGUGGUGAAAGCCCAUCGCUCAACGGUGGAACUGCCAUUGAUACUGCUAGUCUUGAGUAUGGUUGAGGUGGGCGGAAUGUGUCAUGUAGCGGUGAAAUGCUUAGAUAUGACACAGAACACCAAUUGCGAAGGCAGCUCGCUAAGCCAUAACUGACGCUGAGGCACGAAAGCGUGGGGAGCAAACAGG
rnacentral:rRNA from 1 species